rnacentral:rRNA from 1 species
UACGUAGGGCGCAAGCGUUGUCCGGAUUUAUUGGGCGUAAAGAGCGCGUAGGCGGUCUGUUGCGUCUGCCGUGAAAACCCGAGGCUUAACCUCGUGGCUUGCGGUGGAUACGGGUAGACUUGAGGUAGGUAGGGGAGAAUGGAAUUCCCGGUGUAGCGGUGAAAUGCGCAGAUAUCGGGAGGAACACCGGUGGCGAAGGCGGUCUGCUGGGCAGUUGCUGACACUGAUGCGCGACAGCGUGGGGAGCAAACAGG